GUGGUGAGUCCAUAUCCAGGUCUUCUGGCCCUGCCUCCUGGAGGGGCUUUGGACCUUUGCUGGACCUCACUCCUUCCUGGCUCCUGCUGCUCCUGACUGGGCCCUGGACUCAGUUCAUUUUUGGCUAUGACUGGGACUGCUGUUGGACCCGGUUACCAGAACCUGGCUCUGCUUGCUGUAUUCAGAUGCUGUGGGACUGCUCCUGCUGCUUGCUCUUUCCAAGUGGAGGAAUGGGUGGUCUUGGCUGGGCCUGCAGCUCUCCCAGUUUUUCUUGGGUGAAGUAGCUCCCUGUGAACAUGGAAACCCCAGUAUGCCUGGGAGAGUCACCUUCCAGAGGUGUCGGAAGCAACAUCUACAAGAUGUGAUGAUGCUAGAGACAAAAACCAUCUGGGUAAGUGGAAAUCUGUAGAGACAGAGGCAAAGAGGCACUUUGCAUACUCCAAAAACAGCAGCAUUGAGGGCUUUGCUGAGCUGGCUUCCUGACCGAGUCAGCUGCUCUUUCCAGAGGACCUCUACAUGCUGGUUUGCUUUGGCGAGGAUAUCUGCAGAGCUGUCACUUGCAGCCAGUCUCCCCAGGGACUUCAUCCUACGGGGGCCAGCACAGCUGUCCCUCUUCGAGCUGAAGUUCAGGCCCAUUUUGUGUCCUGCAGGAGCUGUGCAUGGGCUGCUGCUGAGGGAUGGCCACAGGCAGGGGGUCAGGCUGGAGGUUGAGAAGCCCUUUGCUGUGGGGCUGGGCACUCCAGGAUCAGACCUGGGUGGUGGAGAGGAGGGCUCCCAGGGUCUGCUGGCAGCUCCCAGCCUCCCACAGACUGUCUCCGAAGGAGCUCAGGAAGGAUUGAUGGCACUGGGUGCCUUUCCAAGACCAAAGUCCCAUCACUCAGAAGACGUUAGACAUUGUCUGGCGUGACACUCUGCUCUCUGGCACUGACCGGGGCGGCCUGCUGACUGCAAAUCUGCUGGGUCCACAGGCAAAUUAUCCGCACAUCAGCACAUUUAAGAGAAAUUAAUUUCCCUGCAGGAGCAAAGAAGAAAGUCUCUUCCAAAUCGGAGUCCAUCUCACAGUGGCUGCUAUGAAAUGUGGUGACAAUCUCACGUAUGCUGUGCAGAGAGGGACCAGCAUUGCACCUGGAGAUGCAGCCAAACCAACAGGCUGGAAAAUCACAACAAAACAUGGAAAAAGAGACCCCAGUAGCCUGCCUUUAAAGUUAGUUACAGAGGGUUGGGAGCCCUGAGGGUGUUUGAGGUUUCCCUUUGCGGUCUGUGCAAGGACACAGAAGCUCUGUGAAGAAGCAGUGAUGGGGAGAAAGAGGUCACAGGUGUGUGGGUGAGGGGGAAAGUAUUUAUAAUAAAUCUGCUAUAAUCUAAUUAGUGGCACCUGACUGAAGAACAAAUGUCUCACUGCUUAGAAGGAAGAAAAAUUCAACCUGCUUGCACCUGUGCUGGCCUAAAAUAAUAGGUAAGGUUUAGGGCAGAGGACACAAUAACAGAAAGGAAGGGAAGGUACAUGGAGGUAAAUAUGAAAUGGAAUAAAAUGUAAUGUGGCUUUGCAAAAAAAAGAGAUCAAGUGAGAUAAACCUGCUGCCUCCUUUUAGGAAGAUAACUGUGUUUUUGUUGUUUUUUUUUGUUUGUUUGUUUUUGUUUGUUUGUUUUUCAUGGAAGGAAAAUGCAGUAGAUUUCAUCGGGCUGUAUUUCAGCACAGCACUUGAUGUGGCACCUAUGAGAGCUUUCUUGUGCUUCUGGAGGAGAUGGGCUCAGCCAGGUGAAAAAGACCCCAGAAAGGUGUGGGGGCAGUUACCAAACCCAGCUCCUCAGUGUGAUGGUGGGUGAGAAUCCAGUCCACAAACCAACCCCAGAACUACAGGAAUUAAAGUAGUGCUGAUUCGGGCUGCCCUGAUAAAAAUGGUUAUAGACAACACUGAGGUGCCAUCCCUUGGCUUCAAGGGGCAAAGGAACAGCUUCGGGAGGGAAACAUCCCCCUCUCCCACCACACUGCAUCCUGCCUGCGAGUUGCUCCCCCACUGCUGUCCCCAGGCUGCUCUUCUUGCACGUCCCCACGUCUGAGUGCACAUUUCUGCAGCUCACUGCGUCAGCCGGGGCUGGACCGGAGCUGGGAAGUCUUUUAUGUGUACAGACAUUGAAAGGAAAUGAAUGCUGCUUCCCCUCCCAGGUCUGAGAUGUCUGAGAUGGGGGAAUGAUUUGCUGGGGGGGGGGGGGGGGGUGUAAUAGUGGUGAUUUUAAACAAAAACAUCUGGAUAGAAUUUGUGUGGGAUAGUCCAUAAAAAUAAGUAAAGGAGGAAGUCUGAAAGCAAGAAAUAUGUCUGAUCCUUACUAAGAUAACUCAUCUGCAGGGACAGAAAAAAAAAAAAAAAA